UACGAAGGGGGCUAGCGUUGCUCGGAAUCACUGGGCGUAAAGGGUGCGUAGGCGGGUCUUUAAGUCAGGGGUGAAAUCCUGGAGCUCAACUCCAGAACUGCCCUUGAUACUGAGGAUCUUGAGUUCGGGAGAGGUGAGUGGAACUGCGAGUGUAGAGGUGAAAUUCGUAGGUAUUCGCAAGAACACCAGUGGCGAAGGCGGCUCACUGGCCCGAUACUGACGCUGAGGCACGAAAGCGUGGGGAGCAAACAGG
rnacentral:rRNA from 1 species